GACGAACGCUGGCGGCGUGCUUAACACAUGCCAGUCGAACGAUGACGACCGAGCUUGCUCGGUCUGAUUAGUGGCGAACGGGUGAGUAACACGUGAGCAACCUGCCCUUCACUCUGGGAUAACCUCGGGAAGUCGGGGCUAAUACCGGAUAUGAGCUCCUGUCGCAUGGCGGGUGUUGGAAAGUUUUUCGGUGAAGGAUGGGCUCGCGGCCUAUCAGUUUGUUGGUGAGGUAGUGGCUCACCAAGGCGAUGACGGGUAGCCGGCCUGAGAGGGCGACCGGCCACACUGGGACUGAGACACGGCCCAGACUCCUACGGGAGGCAGCAGUGGGGAAUAUUGCACAAUGGGCGAAAGCCUGAUGCAGCGACGCCGCGUGAGGGAUGACGGCCUUCGGGUUGUAAACCUCUUUCAGCAGGGAAGAAGCGAAAGUGACGGUACCUGCAGAAGAAGCGCCGGCUAACUACGUG
rnacentral:rRNA from 1 species